UAGGCAAAUCCGGGGUACUCUACGCUGAGAACUGAUAGCAAGCUGUACUUGUACAGUGAAGUGGCUGAUACCAUGCUUCCAGGAAAAGUCUCUAAGCUUCAGUUACAUAGGAAUCGUACCCGAAACCGACACAGGUGGUCAGGUCGAGUAGACCAAAGCGCUUGAGAGAACUCUGCUGAAGGAACUAGGCAAAAUGGUACCGUAACUUCGGGAGAAGGUACGCUGCCGACGGUGAUAGGAUUUACUCCUUGAGCUAUUGGCAGCCACAGAAACCAGGCCCCUGCAACUGUUUAUUAAAAACAUAGCACUCUGCAAACACGAAAGUGGACGUAUAGGGUGUGAUGCCUGCCCGGUGCUGGAAGGUUAAUUGAUGGGGUUAGCGUAAGCGAAGCUCUUGAUCGAAGCCCCAGUAAACGGCGGCCGUAACUAUAACGGUCCUAAGGUAGCGAAAUUCCUUGUCGGGUAAGUUCCGACCUGCACGAAUGGCAUAAUGAUGGGGGCGCUGUCUCCAGCAGAGACUCAGUGAAAUCGAAUUCGCCGUGAAGAUGCGGUGUACCCGCGGCUAGACGGAAAGACCCCGUGAACCUUUACUGCAGCUUGACAUUGAACUUUGAUCUUACUUGUGUAGGAUAGGUGGGAGGCUUUGAAACCGAGACGCUAGUUUCGGUGGAGCCAAUCUUGAAAUACCACCCUGGUAAUAUUGAGGUUCUAACUCUGUCCCGUUAUCCGGGACGAGGACCAUGUCUGGUGGGUAGUUUGACUGGGGCGGUCUCCUCCUAAAGAGUAACGGAGGAGUACGAAGGUGCGCUCAGCGUGGUCGGAAAUCACGCGUAGAGUAUAAAGGCAAAAGCGCGCUUAACUGCGAGACCCACAAGUCGAGCAGGUACGAAAGUAGGUCUUAGUGAUCCGGUGGUUCUGUAUGGAAGGGCCAUCGCUCAACGGAUAAAAGGUACUCUGGGGAUAACAGGCUGAUACCGCCCAAGAGUUCAUAUCGACGGCGGUGUUUGGCACCUCGAUGUCGGCUCAUCUCAUCCUGGGGCUGAAGCAGGUCCCAAGGGUAUGGCUGUUCGCCAUUUAAAGAGGUACGCGAGCUGGGUUUAGAACGUCGUGAGACAGUUCGGUCCCUAUCUACCGUGGGCGUUGGAAAUUUGAGAGGAUCUGCUCCUAGUACGAGAGGACCAGAGUGGACGAACCUCUGGUGUACCGGUUGUGACGCCAGUCGCAUCGCCGGGUAGCUAUGUUCGGAAGGGAUAACCGCUGAAAGCAUCUAAGCGGGAAGCCUACCUCAAGAUAAGAUUUCCCUAGGACUAUAUGUCCUCUAAAGAGCCGUUGAAGACUACGACGUUGAUAGGUUGGAUGUGGAAGCAUAGUGAUAUGUGAAGCUGACCAAUACUAAUUGCUCGUGAGGCUUGACUAU
rnacentral:rRNA from 1 species